rnacentral:rRNA from 1 species
CCUGAUGACCAUAGCGCAGUGGAACCACCCCUUCCCAUCCCGAACAGGACCGUGAAACGCUGUAGCGCCGAUGAUAGUGAGCUUCUCGCUUGUGAAAGUAGGACAUCGUCAGGC